CUUGUACUCCCUCCGUCCGAAAAUACUUGUCAUUGAAAUGGAUGUAUCUAGAUGUAUUUUAGUUCUAGACACAUCCAUUUUGAUGACAAGUAAUUCCGGACAGAGGGAGUAUUUG
rnacentral:pre_miRNA from 1 species